AAAUUGCUUCAAAAUACUACAAAAUUGCUUCAAAAUACUACGAAAUUGCUUCAAAAUAUUGCUAAAUUCCUUCAAAUGUCUACAUUUGCGAAGAAAUUCAACAAUCGCAACAACAUUCACAGAAAGAAACCGAAAAAUAUAUUUCGAAUUAGAGAGAUAAAGAGAAUGAUGAUUCAGAGAAGAAUCAUGUUCGUUGAACAUAACAAGGCAUAGUCUGAAGAAACGUGAACCAAAUUAGGAAGCAAGGAUGCGGAACUGAUGCUAUUUGAAGAAAAACACUAAAUAUAGGUUAAAUCGAAGAUAAGCAAGGAAGUUUGCAAAUGAAUAGUACAUGUUAUAUGUUCAUUUAUGAAAGUGUAUAUGUUCAUUAAUGAAUGUGUAUAUGAUCAUAUCUUAAACUUCCUCCAUUUCUUUUUACUUGCAACACAGCCUUGUGGCACGUGUUUUGAGGUCGGGUUUAUAUAAUGUAAACGGAUAAAUUAUUCAUUAUAAUUUUUACAAAUGAUACUUAACCCUAUUCUAA